UCCAUUCUCAGCGCCCAAGAGUAUGAGAGCUAAUUCAAACAAAACAUGUGGAUUUUCAUGUUAAAGUAACCUUCAGCAGAGAGACAACCGCUUCUGGAAAAUGUUAACGCUUUCCUGUUGGAUGCCAAGCCCUCUUGGAACCCAGGAGGUUAGAGCUUCAGAAGAAGGCUCCCACUUGCCCAUCCUCAGACUUGAACUCCUUGUAAGCAAGUCCAUUGAUCCUAAAGAUACCUUGAAGGGCUGCCUAGUACUCCUUCUGUUCCCUCCCACCAUAAACUGGUUUCUACACCCC